rnacentral:rRNA from 1 species
UUUUGAUUACAAAGGUUUAUUUGGUAAUUUUUCUUAAAAGAUUUGUAAUUUAUGUAAUUAAUACCUUUUGUAUUAGGGAAAAAAGAUUUUUUUUAUUUUUUUGUUCUCCCGAAUUUUAUUUGAACUAUUGGAAUUUAUUUUUUAUGUUGAAUUAUUUUUAUUUUUCAAUUGUUGUUAUAUGCUUUCGUUUUUUUCUAUCUGGUUUUUUUAUUUUUUAGGGUUUUAGCUCUUUCAUUAUUUUAGAUAAUUUUUUAUUUUAACUAUUGUUAAUAGUUCUUUUUUUGUGUUUUAAUUAAAAAAUUUUAUUUUUCUCUUUGAUUUUUUUGAAUUCUUUUUUAUAAAAUUUUUAUAUGAUUUUUUUAUUAGUAGAUUUUUUUUUAUUUUUAUUUUUUGUUGUUUUACUUUUAUUUUUUUUAUUUUAAUUGGUAAUUUGUAAAGUUAAAUGUUUAACAAAAUCAAUUCUGAAUUUUUUUUCAGUAUUCCCUGCUCGGUGAAUUUAAACAGCCAUGGUAUUUUGACUAUGCUAAGGUAGCGAAAUCAUUUGUUUUUUUAUUGAAAACUUGUAUGAAUGGGGUUUUAACUUUUCUUUUUUAUUUUAUUUUAUUUGAAUUUGUUUUUUAUUUGAGAACUUUUUAAGGAACUUUAAAAGACUAAAAGACCCUUGGAUUUUCAUUUUUAGAAAGUUUUUGUGAGUUUUUUUAUUAAAUUUUUUCUUUCUUUAUUUUUAAUUGGGGUAAUUUUGUAUUUAUAUUUAUAUUAUAUUGUUUUUUGAUCUUUUGUUUUGCUUUUUGUCUAAAUACCCAAGGGUUAACAGCGUAAUAAGUUUGGAUAGUUCAUAUAGAUAAAUUUUUUUGCGACCUCGAUGUUGGUUUGUUUUACCUUUUUGAUGCAGAAAGUAAAUUAGGAAGUCUGUUCGACUUUUAAAUAAAUAAACACAUGAACUGAGUUCAAGUCGGCGUGAGCCAGACUGGAUUUUAUCUUUAAAUUUUUAUUUUAUUUUAGUACGAGAGGACCAUUUAUUUUUCUUUUUGAUUGAUGUGGCAGAUUAUGCGAAGAGUUUAAGUCUCUUUUAAGUUUUUACCUUCAAU